GGGGUUGUGGCUCAGAGGUAGAGCCCUUGCCUAGCAUGCAGGAGGCACUAGGUUUGAUCCUCAGCACCA
rnacentral:tRNA from 1 species